rnacentral:lncRNA from 10 species
AUUCUGAAUAUAACUAACUUCCUUCCUUCCUGCCUUCCUCCCUCCCUGCCUUCCCUUCCUUCCUGCCUUCCUUCUUCCUUCCUCCCUUUUUUCUUUUCUCCCUUCCUUCCUUCUUAAUAUGUUUUUGGCCUUUUCUUUAUAUAUGUGGCCUAGCAAUAUCCUGUGUUUGGAAAAGUAUAAACCUAAGGCAUCACCUUUACAGAAAAUAUCUUCCACGGAAACAUCUAAAGUGAGGAAGUAAAGUUGCAUUCACAGGCCUUGAACUUUUCCACAUCUCGAUUUUUACCCAUCAUCUCUGCAUAGUUCCCUAAGGCAGCCUUCAAAUGGUGAUGUUUCUUAUAAUCCAGAGUUCAGAAGUGGCUUCUCUUCAAUCUUUCUGUGGAAUUCUAAACCACGUGAUAAAGGAGCUGGUGGCUGGAGUGCAGUGAUGUGAUCUCGGCUCACUGCAACCCCUGCCUCCUGGAUUCAAGCAAUUCUCCUGCCUCACCCUCCCAAGUAGCUGGGAUUACAGUACCUGUCUCCUCCCAUAGUUAGGUGCCAAGCACUGUGGAUUCUGCCUCUCAGUGUCCAGACACCCAUUUUCCUUCCCACUGUUCCUUCCCCAUGGAGAAGCCUGUGGCUGGCUGACAGCAGAGAGAGAUGCUCAACUUGGAGAAGGUGUUACCUGGGCCAGGUGGGGAAGGUUUGUUUGCAGAGCAAAGAAGUGAAGGAAGUAUUAACCCUUUGCAUGGCCUCCUGAGAAUCCGACAAGACGUAAAUAGCCAAGAAUAUCUGUGAAACUUCAUCACUGAGUUACAAUAUUUAUCACUGCAAGUGUGUUGUUCAUUGACACUAUAAAGCCAUGUGGAAUUAAGCAGCCUUGAAACACAAAAUGGA